AGGGCACCACCAGGAGUGGAGCCUGCGGCUUAAUUUGACUCAACACGGGAAAACUCGCCCGGCCCGGACACUGGAAGGAUUGACAGAUUGAGAGCUCUUUCUUGAUUCAGUGGGUGGUGGUGCAUGGCCGUUCUUAGUUGGUGGAGUGAUUUGUCUGGUUAAUUCCGAUAACGAACGAGACUCUAGCCUAUUAAAUAGAUCGUUGGCUUACAAACGCCGGCGAGACUUCUUAGAGGGACAGGCGGCGAUUCAGCCGCACGAAACAGAGCAAUAACAGGUCUGUGAUGCCCUUAGAUGUCCGGGGCCGCACGCGCGCUACACUGAAGUGAUCAGCGUGCAUUUUGAAACCUACUCUGUCAAGAGUGGGGAACCCAAUGAACCUUCUUCGUGAUUGGGAUAGGGGAUUGUAAUUAUUCCCCUUGAACGAGGAAUUCCCAGUAAGCGCGAAUCAUAAGUUUGCGCUGAUUACGUCCCUGCCCUUUGUACACACCGCCCGUCGCUACUACCGAUUGAAUGUUU
rnacentral:rRNA from 1 species